CCCAUCUCUACUGAAAAUACAAAAAAUUAGCCAGGCGUGGUGGCGGGCACCUGUAGUCCCAGCUACUCGGGAGGCUGAGGCAGGAGCAUGGGGUGAACUCAGGAGGUGGAGCUUGCAGUGAGCCGCGAUCACGCCACUGCACUCCAGCCUGGGCGACAGAGCAAGACUCCGUCUUAAAAAAAUAAAAAUUAAAAAAAAAAGUAAACAACAUAGAGAACUCAAAAGUUCCUUUGUCUACCUCCACCACCCCCCACCAAAAAAAAAGGCCCUUAACUACAUUUGACUUUAAGGAAUAAACAUAAGAGAACUCAGAAUUCCUUUGUCUCUCCCCACCCAAAAAAAAAGAAAAGGUUCUUAACUUUUCUUGACCUAAUAUUCAGCACUGAAGUCUUAUUACUUGAAACUUAUCAGAUGCUAAAUUACACCAUUCAUACUUAUUGUUCUUUCAAUAGCAAAAUGUACUGAAAGCUCUCCAGUCCCCCCUCCACUCCUGGCAAGCAUGCAGUCACGUGCUCGUGUGAAUUUUCCAAAAUCAUGAGCAUUUUGUAAGAUUCAGUUGGUUAUAUGAAAUUACAAUAAAGAGUAUUAUAUAUUUUAUUA
rnacentral:lncRNA from 10 species